GAUGAAGAACGUAUCGAAAUGCGAUAAGUAAUGUGAAUUGCAGAAUUCAGUGAAUCAUCGAAUCUUUGAACGCACAUUGCGCCCCCUGGUAUUCCGGGGGGCAUGCCUGUCCGAGCGUCAUUACAACCCUCAAGCUCAGCUUGGUGUUGGGCCCCGCCGCCCCGGCGGGCCCUAAAGUCAGUGGCGGUGCCGUCCGGCUCCGAGCGUAGUAAUUCUUCUCGCUCCGGAGGUCCGGUCGUGUGCUCGCCAGCAACCCCCAAUUUUUUUCAGGUUGACCUCGGAUCAGGUAGGGAUACCCGCUGAACUUAAGCAUAUCAAUAAGCGGAGGA
rnacentral:misc_RNA from 1 species